AUACGUAGGUGGCAAGCGUUGUCCGGAAUUAUUGGGCGUAAAGCGCAUGUAGGCGGUAAUUUAAGUCUGUCGUGAAACUGCGGGGCUCAGCCCCGUAUGGCGAUGGAAACUGGGUUACUUGAGUGCAGGAGAGGAAAGGGGAACUCCCAGUGUAGCGGUGAAAUGCGUAGAUAUUGGGAAGAACACCGGUGGCGAAGGCGCCUUUCUGGACUGUGUCUGACGCUGAGAUGCGAAAGCCAGGGUAGCGAACGGGAUUAGAUCCCCCGGUAGUCCUGGCCGUAAACGAUGGGUACUAGGUGUGGGAGGUAUCGACCCCUUCCGUGCCGGAGUUAACGCAAUAAGUACCCCGCCUGGGGAGUACGGCCGCAAGGCUUAAACUCAAAGGAAUUGACGGGG
rnacentral:rRNA from 1 species